UACGUAGGGUGCAAGCGUUGUCCGGAAUUAUUGGGCGUAAAGAGCUCGUAGGCGGUUUGUCGCGUCUGCUGUGAAAACUCGGGGCUUAACUCCGGGCCUGCAGUGGGUACGGGCAGACUAGAGGCAGGUAGGGGAGAAUGGAAUUCCCGGUGUAGCGGUGAAAUGCGCAGAUAUCGGGAGGAACACCGGUGGCGAAGGCGGUUCGCUGGACCGGUUCUGACGCUGAUGCGCGAAAGCGUGGGGAGCAAACGGG
rnacentral:rRNA from 1 species